UUGAUUUUGAUUCAUUGCAGUUUCUGUUGUGUUACAAGUGCUCUUUCAUGAUUUGAGAUCGUUGAGUCAUUCAUGCAAGUAUGCUCUUCCAUUAUUGGAGUCUUGAUUUGGUUAUUGGUUUUUUAGGCUAUCAGGGUUUUUUUUGUUCACUAAUCUUUGUUAAUGCCUUGCAUCCAAGUUUUUCUUUUCCAUCAUGUUGUUUUGUGCUUGGUUUCCCUGCAAAUGCACACACAAACACACAUUGAAAUAGAUGCAUAGAAUUGUCAAAAUUGGCGGGGGUGACAGAAUUUAUGGCCAUUUAUAGGUGGCGGGAGUCGCGUG
rnacentral:lncRNA from 1 species